GGGGCAUUACUUUCUGAGGCUUGACAUUUCUGGUGUCAUCUCUUGGCUCGCUGACAGUUCAGUACAAACACAGCAAGUGUUCUAUGCAGCAGUAAGUACCCUUAUUCAUCUUGAAGGAACUAGUCGCUUUUGUCAGGGUAUUUCAUCACAACAACAACAACAACAACAGCUGCAAUAAUGGGCUGCUGGGAGGGUAAAGUCAUGUGCAAAGGGGCAUGUACAAUCCCUACAGAGAGGAUGGAGGUGCUGGUGUCAAUACAAGAAAGACAUCAUCACUGGAAAAGAACCAGCUCACAGAUGGCUAUGCCGAGCCUCCGGAGACAAUAUGUGCUAAGCUCAGGCAUGGGGAUUGUUAGCAUUAGAGGCAGGCCUCAUGGGUCUGAGUUCCCUGCCCUGUGCUUCUUACUUAUAGUUGCUGGGUAACAAGCUGUAAGAUGCUGAAUGGCCAAACUCCAAGCAGGACGGCCGGUGUUAUCAGAAGAAUUCCUACUUUAAACUGAUGAAGUUCACUACAGCAGCAUAUAUCCAUCUAACCCAGCAGCUCAGCAUUCUACUACGGUACUGGUUAGUUUAUGUCAACUUAAUACAUAUUAGAAACUUCUUGGAAGAGGGAACCUCUAUAGGGGAAUUAUCUUUAUUAGAUUGGUCAUUGGCUAAGUCGCUCUCUCUCUCUCUCUCUCUCUCUCUCUGUCUCUCUCUGCUUUCCUUCCUUCCUCUAUCUCCCUCCUCCCUCCUCCGCCCCUCCCUCCCUCCUCCCCCCCUUUCUUUCUUUCUCUCUUUCUUUCUUUCUUUCUUUCUUCCCUAAUAAUUUGUGUGGGAGGGUCCCCACCUCACUGUGGAUGGUGCUAACUGCUAACCUUGGGUCUAGGCUGUAUAUGAAAGCAAACUGAGCAAGCCAAUGAACACCAUUCCACAAUGGUAUCUGUUUCAGUUCAUGCCUCCAGGGUUUUUGUUGUUGUUGUUGUUGUUGUUUAGUUGUUUGUUUUUGCUUCUUGGUAUUUUAAAAAAAUCAUUAGUAUUAAUUAGUUAGUAUACAAAGUAAAGGCUUCCUUAUGACAUUUUCGGUUUCUCCUUCUCCUUUUCUCCUCCUUCUCCUUCUCCUUCUCCUUCUCCUUCUCCUUCUCCUUCUCCUUCUCCUUCUCCUCCUCUUCCUCCUCCUCCUCCUCCUCCUCCUCCUCCUCCUUCUCCUCCUCCUCCUCCUCCUCCUCCUCCUUUUUUUUUUUUUUUUUUGGACCUGGCUGUUCUGGAACUCACUUUGUAGUCCAUGCUGGCCUUGAACUCAGAAAUCUGCCUGUCUCUGCCUCCUGAGUGCUGGGACUAAAGGCAUGCACCUUCACACCUGGCUCUUAUGACAUUUUCAUGCACAUAUAAUUCUACUUUGCUCUUACUUUAUGUUCCCAAUAUCUUCUUUUAUUUUUCUCUAAUAAUUUAUUUAUUUUAUUCACUUUACAUCCUGACUGACAGCCCACCCUCCCUUCUCUCUUUCCAGUACAACCCUUGCAAAUCCCUCCCCUCAUUGCUUUCUCCCCUUCUCCUCAGAGAACUGGGAGCACCCUUGGGUGCCUCCCCACCCUGGGACAUCUGGUCCCAGCAGGAUUACUGCCUCCAGGUUCCUGUGUUGAGCUCCUGAUCUGUUUUCUCUAGAUGGUGAGCUGUAACCUGUAAGCCAGAUAAACUACUUCCUCCCCAAGUUGGUUUUUAGUCUGCAUCUUAUCAUAGCUACAGGAAAGCCAUCCAGGACUGUUACAUAACCCCACAACAGCUGUCUGUAGGAGGUGACCUUAAGGGUGAGACUUGGACCUCAGAGCAGAAGGGAUUUAAGAAGUUUCCUACUUGCACCUCAUUCCCAGGGUAGGAGUGUAGCACCUGGGGACAUGAACAGUUCACCAUUUUCUCAUUUAAUGAUGUGAGUUGGAGGCUGGGAUCAGAGGCUGGCACUCUGAGGAAGCUCCUACAGUUCGCAUGUGCUUUCCAGCAUUGGGACCCUCACCCUGGGAAGGGACUUCUGCCUUUCUUUGGGACCUUGUCAACCCUUGGGAGAACUGUUAUAGGAGACCAUCUUGUCCUUUUCUCAUGUGUUGCUAUAGAGUUCUUACUUCCGUGCUCCUAAUGCCUGCCCCAUCAAUGUCACUAGGACCAUAUUGCUUGGACUUUUACCCUCCAGCGAGAUAACCACAGUUCUUCACCAGUAGUUGCCUCGUGUGUUUUGUUGUGGCCAUGACCAUCUGACUAAGAGAGGCCCAGUUGCCUAAAUUACUCUCCCUCAAGUCAUUGUCUUCAGCAGAGGACAAAGGGAGUUUGUAGAGAGAGACUUCAACUGGCCAUGCAGCAGUGCAGUGGCACUUAUGGCUGCCUUGUUAUUCCUCUCUCAUUGGCUACAAGUGUCUGCAGGCUUGUCUCUCAGCUCUGGGCUCUGAAAAGCCCCAUUGUGCUGCUUGCUCUUGACUGAGAGGCAGGAGCAGAGUCUAAGGUGACAAGGACAUUAUCACCUAAGUGGCGCAGGGGAUCUUUGCAUAAGUGAUUGCAUUUCAAUGUGCUUCAAAUCUCUUUCUCACUGGCCCAUCUUUCUGAUGAGCUGUUCAUGCUAAAUUCCCCAUCCUAGUUAAGGAGCUCUCUGUGGCACUGCUAAUGAUAAUGCUAAGUGACUUUAAAAUGCCUUUUGAUGUGAAUCCAUUCUGACUAACAAGUGAGAGGCAACCCACCUAUGCUCCAGGCAAAAUUUUAGCCUAGUAAAGAAAACACACACACACACACACACACACACCUUAACCUGGAGGGGGAGGGCCAGGAGCAUUGCACCCAGGCUGCUUCAGAAGCAGUGAGCUUCACACACAUUUGCAAAGUAAGGAACAAAAUACUGAGGUCUCAGUGAAGGUACCACCAGCAUCCCUAACAUCUCUCCUUCAUCAUCCCUCCUCCAUCAUCCCUCCUCCAUCAUCCCCCCUCUAUUAUCCCUCCUUAUACAUGAAUUCAGAAGGCAUAUAAAUUGCUUAAAAAUAUUUACCAUAUUUUAUGUCUUAAACAAAAAAUAGAGGAAGUUUUAUUACUCAGAUCUCAAUAUGAUUGUCCACGUUGGUUUUGAGGAUGGCUUUCCCUGGUAGUCACUGACAGGCUCACACCGAGCUCCUUGUUGCUUACUAGUUCUUAGCCUAUGGGAUAGAACUGUCCACAUGAGCAUGUCCCCUCAUGCUGUCAGUAUGAGCAGAGAUGAGGCAUUUUGUGGUUUGCACAAGCUUCCACCAAGCCAUUUCGGAGUGUUGUAUAUUUCCAUAUCUAAUCAAGUGCAUAAUUAACCCAGAGGGCAUAAUCAUAAAGCCAGGCUAAUUUAGCAUUCCUGAUUGGGGAUGCCCCCCCCACACGGCAGAGUCCCCUCUAGCACCCACAGACUCAGCUGUUUCUCACAUCGGUUUGGGGGUGAGGUUGGAAACAAUGGUAGCACUCCUUUAAUGCGUAUCCCAGAGCAAACCCCACUCUGCUGACGUGAGAAGUAGUGGGUUGGCUACUUGGCUACAGAUAAGAAUCACAAGUUUAGAAGAUGAAUUGGCCUCUACCCAAAGAGACCAACAAAUUCCCACUGAAGAACUGAGAAGACCAUGAAGCAAGGAUGUAAAAAUAUGUGCAGAAAUUACCAAUAUAGACCACACCAUUAUUCAUUUGCACCCCCCCCCCAUGAUGGUGAUGGUUUGAAGGACAAAUGUACCCUAUGGCUCUUGUAUUUGGUUACUUGGUUCCCAUUUGGUGACACUGUUUUGGGAAGUUCUAGACCCUUUAAGGAGUGCAGCCUUGAUGGAGGGACUAUGUCGCUGAGGGAUGGGCUUUCAGAUUUUGUAGCCUUUCCCCAGCUGCUGUUCACUCUUUGCUUCCUCCUCUGGCUGUUUGCUGUCAUGCCUUCCUGGGCAUUAUCUCCCUCUGGAACCGUAGGCCAAAGCAAACCAUCUUCCUUAAUUUGCCUUUUGCCGUAGUGUUUAUUUACUGCUAUAGAAAAGUAACUGAUACCAACCAUAAUAAGAUUCCAAGCAUCGGCCAGCUCAUGCUAUAGUUUACACCAAAGACGUUUAACCAAGUACAGGGUGGGGAGUGACUAUGCCACGCACACAUCAAACUUCACCUUCUAUAAUGGCAUCCUCGAGUUGUUUUAUAGUUUAAGCUGCUGCACAGAUUCUGUGGUGAUGCCUCCUGAGCAGGCUGCUGUUAUCAGCAAGCACAUGGCAGAAGCAGACAUUGGUGCCCCUGCUCACCUGCUGUGCAUGUCGGACAUCCCAGAAGUGAAACCUCAGCAGCUCCUAUCAAACCGGAAGAUGCAGCUCAGCCAUGCUGAACCAGACCUGCAGAUUCGGAGCAAACGGGCAAGUGUGGCUUGAUAUUGCAAGCUUUGGGAUGGUUCCUUUAACAGCCAGAGACAACAGAGAUGGGGAGGGAGUGCUCCGGAGAAAGAAGAGUUGGGCUAAGCCAGUUGGUCAGGUUUAGGCUUUUGUCAUUUACUUUCCAGAAAAAAUAUUUGCUCUGGGUGUGCACAUAUUCCUCACAUGCUCAUGAAUCUAUCUGCUUGAUUCAGAAAUGCCAGCACUGAGCCAUGAGAGCCAAGGCAGGACUAAUCUAUGCAGGCCGCCACUACCACAUAAACAGGAUCCACUCCAUCUUCCUCACAGUGUUGACUUUCAUAUCUGCCCCCUUGGGUUUCAGAGGGAUGCCCUUCAACUGAAUGCAAGGAAGUUCCCGUAAUUACAGAUUUUCCUAUGACGAUUAUCUUAAUAUUCCCAGAUUUUAAGAUAAUAAUGUAUAUCUGAGAGUCUCCAAGGAGGACAUGCAGAUUUCUGAAUUUUAAGUAUCAUCAAGCAUUCAUGUUUAUCCUGAAAAAAAUCUUCACAGUAACACUGACGGCAACUGCCCACUUUCUAAAUUUCUGGGAUGUGAUAUAUAGAACUAUUUUGUUUUGAGAAGACCACUCAGACACACUUCAAGCCAAUAGAACGUCUUUAUUAGCUACAAGAAGACAGGCCAGUUCCAAAGGGAGAACCAGAGAAGGAGGAAGGACUUAACAGGCCUUCCCAGAGUCAGAGCAUGAUAGCUUGAGAAAGCCCUGCAUCCUGUUUCUCAGACACAGCAUGUAGGGGCUGGGCCAUCCAGACUCUAGCAGCCACAGAUCUCCCAGUCUGAGAUCAUGUGUCAGGGGGUAGAGCUGACAGCUCCUCCAAGGGUCCAGGCACUGACCCCUGACACCCGGAGGUUCUGUGCAUGUAGCUUUCUACUUCAAAUCUAGAUGGAGAAAGCCACGCUCCCAUAUGUCAUGCGCUCAGAGUCAGUAGAGAUGAUGGCGCCACUGGGUACUGCCAAGUUACAUCAUGUGCCCUUUGAGGCAGCCAUGAAGUGUUGUGCAGGACAAGGGAGCUGAGCCAUGCAAUUGCUCAACCCUGAGCCUUCACAGUCUGGGAGAUAGGAGGGGCAGCCCCAUAAUCUCUGAUACACUUUUGGGAUCGCUCUGCCGCUGUCUGAAGGACUAAGAGUCCCUGCUGAUCCACAGUAACCCUUACACAACGGCCACGGCGCUCAACCUGGUGCUCUUCUCUGCCAUGGUUUUUAUUUCUAAUCAUGAGAAUAAGCCGAGGAUUUCUCCAAAUUCUGCUUCCCUUUGGACCAAAACAUCCACAUUAAAGACAUUUCCACUCUUGGCUUUAAAUACCCAACAGGAGACACAGUGUCCCCAACACUUACUUAGAAAUGUCUUCAGCCAAAUAUUCCUGCUUCAUCCCUCCUACGUCUACCUUCCGCAGAACCGUGGUACCUAAACACAGCUCACCCAGGCCUGUUGCUCACACAUCUACCUCCCACCAAACUCUAGGACUUAAACACAGCUCGUCCCCAAUGUGGCAAUGACAAGCUGUCAGUUUUCAGGACCUGCCUCUCAUUUCCAUUUAAGAAACCAUCAGAAUAGCUCUAGCUGUUAAGUUUAGAUCAAUAUUCUCUGCAGGGUCAAGAACUGGGCUCUCACUACAGCCACCACAAUCACUCCAAGCAUUCUAGGGCCAUAUAGGUACUCCCUAGCAGUGCCAGAGACUCUCUCACCCUCUACCUACUGAGCUGUAUAGUAAAACUGUCUGUAAAUCACCAGGACUAUGGUAUUUUAUUACAGCAGCCAACACAAAUGAAGACAUAAAACUGGUACUUGAUGCUGCUGUGAGAAAUGCCCAUAAGAACAGACAGCAGGCAUGGACUGAUCACUGUUCUGUAGACUCUGAUGUAAACAUGAUGCAAACAUGAAAGAUGAAGAUGGAUUGGUGUAUGGUACAAGAAAUUGGAAGACCUAAGGAGAAACCACUGUCACUUGCUCUGCCACCAGAGGGCAGUCACUGCAAACACACAGGGUCUAGAGGAGAGAUGGAGAGGAUUGAAUAAGUAGUCUGCAUAGCUUUCGGAACUGGAUCUGGAAGAGAUGGAACUCAGAGAUUCCCUCAGGCCUUCUGAUGAUGUCCUGGGUAAAUUCAGCCUGGCAGCCGACAUGGAAGAAGUGGGCAUGGAUUCCCCAGAGAAUUUCAACCCAGACUGAUUGAUGGAAGGGCCGAGACACAGAAAGUGCUUCUCAGAAGGCAGCUCAAUAUGGCGGCUGGUGUUGCUCCUACAAAUGCACCUCCUUGUAUCCUGAAGCCUUGGAGGCCAUUGUCACAGUUCAGGACAGUGACCCAUCCCUUCCCAAAUCAGCCAGAAUUAAAUGGCCUGAAAUCUUCGAGGCCCCAGGAACAUA